rnacentral:rRNA from 1 species
CGAUGGGCCGACGUCGCAUGCUCCCGGCCGCCAUGGCGGCCGCGGGAAUCGAUUAGAGUUUGAUCAUGGCUCAGAUUGAACGCUGGCGGAAUGCUUUACACAUGCAAGUCGAACGGGCUUAAGGGGCUUGCUCCUUAAGUUAGUGGCGAACGGGUGAGUAAUAUAUCGGAACGUAUCCAAUAAUGGGGGAUAACUAAUCGAAAGGUUGGCUAAUACCGCAUACGCCCUACGGGGGAAAGCAGGGGAUCUUCGGACCUUGCGUUAAUGGAGCGGCCGAUAUCUGAUUAGCUAGUUGGUGGGGUAAAGGCCCACCAAGGCGACGAUCAGUAGCUGGUCUGAGAGGACGACCAGCCACACUGGAACUGAGACACGGUCCAGACUCCUACGGGAGGCAGCAGUGGGGAAUUUUGGACAAUGGGCGAAAGCCUGAUCCAGCCAUUCCGCGUGAGUGAAGAAGGCCUUCGGGUUGUAAAGCUCUUUCGCAAGGAAAGAAAACUUACUUACUAAUACUAGGUGAGGAUGACGGUACCUUGAUAAGAAGCACCGGCUAACUACGUGCCAGCAGCCGCGGUAAUACGUAGGGUGCGAGCGUUAAUCGGAAUUACUGGGCGUAAAGCGUGCGCAGGCUGUUUUGUAAGUCAGAUGUGAAAUCCCUGGGCUCAACCUAGGAACUGCGUUUGAAACUACAAGGCUAGAGUGUAGCAGAGGGGGGGUAGAAUUCCACGUGUAGCAGUGAAAUGCGUAGAGAUGUGGAGGAAUACCAAU